GAGCCUAUAGCCUAGUGGUCACGGCAUCUGCCCGGUAAGCGGAAGGUCGUCGGUUCGAUUCCCAUCCCUUGACGCU
rnacentral:tRNA from 1 species